rnacentral:sRNA from 1 species
AUUUUAGUUUUCUAGGGUUCCGCAGUUUAUGACUGGCUGGUCCGAGAGAAAACGCACAGUUAUUGUGUACACGGAAGGAUAAAAGCCUGGGAGAU